rnacentral:tRNA from 2 species
CGCGGGGUGGAGCAGCUCGGUAGCUCGCUGGGCUCAUAACCCAGAGGUCGCAGGUUCAAAUCCCGCCCCCGCUA